CCAGCAACUUGGAGGAAUGUACAGCAAUAGCUGAUUGCACCAACAAAUGGUUGAUGCAAUAUUGACUCUGUCAAAUAAAAUUCUAGGUAGAAUUAUGAUAAUGACAUUGUCUGCCUAUAUGUCUUGACCAAAUUACGUGCCAGCAGUCGCGGUAAUACGUAGAAGACUAGUGUUAUUCAUCUUUAAUAGGUUUAAAGGGUACCUAGACGGUAAAUCAAGCCUUCACAGGGACUAAUUUACUAGAGUUACUUACGAGGGGGUAUUAAAGUACUGCAGGUGUAGAGAUGAAAUUCUGUCAUACCUCUUUUCAAAAGAAAAAUUAUGGCACAGGUAUAGGUGAAAGCAUCCCCUUAUGUGAUAACUGACGUUGAAGGACGAAGGCUUUGUGUCGCGAACAGGAUUAGAUACCCCAGUAGUCAAAGCAGAAAAUGAUGAAUGUCAUAGAUUAGAUAUAUAGUUUAUUCUAUAAAUGAAAAUGUAAGCAUUCCACCUCAAGAGUAAUUUGGCAACAUUGGAACUGAAAUCAUUAGACCGUUUCUGAAACCAGUAGUGAAGUAUGUUGUUUAAUUUGAUGAUCCGCAAAAAACCUUACCACAAUUUGAAUAUUUGUAUCUAUCUUUUUUUCGUAAAGAAAUAAAAAGCUAAUAUAUUUACAAGCGUUGCACGGCUGUCUUCAGUUAAUGUCGCGAGACUUUGGUUAGUUCCAUUUAAUUAACGUAAACCCUUACUUUAUUUUUAUAUGAAGUAGUUCCCCGCUAUAUUGGAUAUGAUAACAGGGACUAGGACAAGUCAUCAUGG
rnacentral:rRNA from 1 species